rnacentral:lncRNA from 1 species
UUUAUGGUUGUUUCUAAUUGAGUUUGUAACCUCUUAAUCUUCUUCAUUAUUUGUGUUUAUUUUCUUACUAGUUUGCACUGAACCAUGCACUUCAUUUAGAUUUUCCUAUAAUUCUGGUUUUCACUAUUCUAGCGAUUUCAUCCAUAUUCAAUGUAGUUUCAGUUUUCUCCUUUUCCUAUGAUAUUCUGCUUAUUCUAUGUGUCUAUCUAUUUG